CGGCUCCCGCGGAGGGCAAGGGGAAAGGUGCCAAGGUAGAAAAGGGAAUUUUUUUUUUCCUUUUGUUUUGCUAAACGAGAGAGCCGCGUUCCUCGCCGCGCGCUCCAACGAAUUUUUUGAUAUUUUUAAAAAAAAUCUAAUUUAUUUAAUUUUUUUUCCCUCUUCUUCUUCUUUUUAAAUUCAAACCUAUAUUUUUAUUCUUUUUUUUCCCUCUCUGGAGGGACGGUUUGGAGUGAUAUUUCCCAAUAUCAGCGAAUUGUCCCCCGGUGCAAAGGCGGCGGGGAUGGACCCAUCACCGGCUCUGCCGGGCGCUCCCCAGCGCUUCUCCCUCCGAACCUCCGGGACCCGGCUCGGCGGGCAGCCACCUCCUCCCGACCCGUCCCUGCCUCCCAACAGCACCCGGCAGCAUUUUUAAAGUGUUUUUUUUAACCCCUCUCUUUUUAAUUUUUUAAUUUUUUUUAUUUUUUUUUUUUUUUAAACUAGAGUUGUACCUUUUCAAAAUAAAUAAAUAAUAAGCCUCAACUUCUCUAAGCGGCCGAAAUCGAAAUAAACCUCAGCAGGCAAAGGAGGUUUUUAGUUCUAAAGAAACUUGUGCCGGUGCACAAGGACUUUUCCCGACUUUGUUUUUGUCAGCGCGGUGCGAAUUCAGAGCAGCGAGGCCGGGGCGCUUUACUCGCGCUCGGUGUCUUUAGGAAACCCUUUCCCAAAGCAUAAAAAAAUUAAAAUAAAAUAAAGGAGGUAAAAACCAGCUCCAGCCCCUCUCCGACCUGGAUGCCAUUCCUGCCACCCGUUUCGCCCACACCAAAAAUCGUGAAGCUCCGGCCCUAAACGCCUUGAAGAUUUCUCUCCCUGCGCUUUCCAGCCCGAUUCUCCCGGGCCGUGAGUGCUCAGAAACACCUUCGCAAAAUGACUUUGCUGAGUCUCCGCAUGGCGAGGAAGAGGAGGAGGAUGAAAGGGUUCUCAGCGAUGCCCCCGAGGAAGGAUGGAGCCGGCGGGUCGGACUUACCUGCGAGCCUCGCCGGAGCCGCGGGCAGGGCUGGGGGGCGAAGGGGGAAACCUGCUCCCGGAUCCUCGCCAAAUUCAGAGCUCGGGCUGAGCUGGGAGAGAAAGCACAAAGCGGGAGGUUAGAGAGCUCGCCGCAUGCACAUGCCCACGACAUCGGGGGAAAGGGGG
rnacentral:lncRNA from 1 species